UAUCCGGAAUUAUUGGGCGUAAAGAGCUCGUAGGCGGUUUGUCGCGUCUGCUGUGAAAUCCCGAGGCUCAACCUCGGGCCUGCAGUGGGUACGGGCAGACUAGAGUGCGGUAGGGGAGAUUGGAAUUCCUGGUGUAGCGGUGGAAUGCGCAGAUAUCAGGAGGAACACCGAUGGCGAAGGCAGAUCUCUGGGCCGUAACUGACGCUGAGGAGCGAAAGGGUGGGGAGCAAACAGGCUUAGAUACCCUGGUAGUCCACCCCGUAAACGUUGGGAACUAGUUGUGGGGUCCUUUCCACGGAUUCCGUGACGCAGCUAACGCAUUAAGUUCCCCGCCUGGGGAGUACGGCCGCAAGGCUAAAACUCAAAGGAAUUGACGGGGACCCGCACAAGCGGCGGAGCAUGCGGAUUAAUUCGAUGCAACGCGAAGAACCUUACCAAGGCUUGACAUACACGAGAACACUCUAGAAAUAGAGGACUCUUUGGACACUCGUGAACAGGUGGUGCAUGGUUGUCGUCAGCUCGUGUCGUGAGAUGUUGGGUUAAGUCCCGCAACGAGCGCAACCCUCGUUCUAUGUUGCCAGCACGUAAUGGUGGGAACUCAUGGGAUACUGCCGGGGUCAACUCGGAGGAAGGUGGGGAUGACGUCAAAUCAUCAUGCCCCUUAUGUCUUGGGCUUCACGCAUGCUACAAUGGCCGGUACAAAGGGCUGCAAUACCGUGAGGUGGAGCGAAUCCCAAAAAGCCGGUCCCAGUUCGGAUUGAGGUCUGCAACUCGACCUCAUGAAGUCGGAGUCGCUAGUAAUCGCAGAUCAGCAACGCUGCGGUGAAUACGUUCCCGGGUCUUGUACACACCGCCCGUCAAGUCAUGAAAGUCGGUAACACCUGAAGCCGGUGGCCUAACC
rnacentral:rRNA from 1 species